AAUGAACGCUGGCGGCGUGCCUAACACAUGCAAGUCGAACGAGAAACUUCCCGCUUGCGGGAGGGAGUAGAGUGGCGCACGGGUGAGUAACGCGUGGGUAACCUGCCCCGGAGACUGGGAUAACAUCGCGAAAGCGUUGCUAAUACCGGAUAUUGUCCUGAUGACUGUGGUUAUUGGGAUGAAAGGUGACCGCUCCAUUGGAAGUUGCCGUUUCGGGAGGGGCCCGCGUACCAUUAGCUUGUUGGUGAGGUAAAGGCUCACCAAGGCGACGAUGGUUAGCUGGCCUGAGAGGAUGGCCAGCCACACUGGAACUGAAACACGGUCCAGACUCCUACGGGAGGCAGCAGUGAGGAAUUUUGCGCAAUGGGGGAAACCCUGACGCAGCAACGCCGCGUGAGCGAAGAAGGCCUUCGGGUCGUAAAGCUCUGUCAAGGGGGAAAAAGGUCUUAAGGUGAACAGCUUUAAGGUUUGAUGGUACCCCUAGAGGAAGCACCGGCUAACUCCGUGCCAGCAGCCGCGGUAAUACGGAGGGUGCGAGCGUUGUUCGGAAUUACUGGGCGUAAAGGGCGUGCAGGCGGUUUGGCAAGUCAGAUGUGAAAGCCCUGGGCUCAACUCAGGAAGUGCAUUUGAAACUGCCAUUCUAGAGUAUGGGAGAGGAGAGUGGAAUUCCCAGUGUAGAGGUGAAAUUCGUAGAUAUUGGGAGGAACAUCCGUGGCGAAGGCGACUCUCUGGACCGAUACUGACGCUGAGACGCGAAAGCGUGGGGAGCAAACAGGAUUAGAUACCCUGGUAGUCCACGCCGUAAACGAUGAGAACUAGGUGUAGCGGGUAUUGACCCCUGCUGUGCCGAAGCUAACGCAUUAAGUUCUCCGCCUGGGGAGUACGGUCGCAAGGCUA
rnacentral:rRNA from 1 species